rnacentral:misc_RNA from 1 species
ACAAGAGGAUCAGGACCAAUUGUAUCGUUUCCUCGAAAAGGUUCUGCUAGCUGUUAAUCAAAGUCGAUGAAUUCGAAAAUCCAGUGAUGUCAGGCGGGGAGAUUUACGCGAUGGACGCGGGAGACGCCGUUAAUUCCGAGGAAUUAAAGGAGACUCUUAAGACAUACAAAAAGCUGGCCGACGAUUUUGCGAACCACGACACAAUACUGAAAGACAAAACGGUUCUCUCGUACAUUGCAUACGUUUUGGAAGUCCCCGAUGCCGAAGUAGUAUCGCUGGCGAUAGACAUACUCGAGACGUUUGUAAAGAACGUUGAGAAUUACAUUCACGUGACCUCCACCUUUGGAGUCCGAGAGGCUUUAGAUUCAGUUAUCGAUAAGUACUCGUUAGAGGACCCUAAAUUAGCUAAACAUGCCCAGCGGGUUAGAGACGACAUCGAACGCAUGAAACCUCCGAUAUACAAUCUACGCAGCCGUUGCAGGAGAGUUAUCGAGCCGAAGAAGCUAAAGACUCACGUUAUAGUCCUGCAUGUUCACGGUCUACUUCCCGAAACCAGGGCGGAGUUGGAAGACACUUUAAUCAGGGUAGAAGGAUUAGUUUCCCUCGUCGUCGACGUGGAACACCAGAGAGUCACUAUGAGAACGUUGAUCAACGUCACAGCAAAGCAAAUAGCGGAUGCCAUUGAGAAACACACCACUAAUAUGGAAGCUAGAUUAGUGACGAAGAACAAAUUCAAUCAAGAAUUUUUAGUUAAACUGACACACACCGACAAUGGUGAGUGCGAGGAAAUGCCAGAAUAUUUGCCAGAGGACGACGAGCCGGAAGAGGAGAAAGAAGGAGUCGUGUCUCUUUUCACCGGCCUGAGGCAAAGCGCGUCUACGCUUUACAAAUCCACCACAGAGUUUCUACAUAAUUCGUUCUACUGGUGAAUCGGUUUUCACUUGUAGAACGGCUGUAUAUUAAUUUAUUAUUUUGUAUCGACGAACUACGCAUUUGAAACCGUCCUAACGGUUCUCUGAUUUCUCAUCGCAUACCAGUGGUAAGUACAGCGACUUUCGGAGAGAGUAGUUAAUUUUAAAUCCUUCCGUGAGACCGUAAAGCAGUUCCAAGGUAAAUGUUAAUUGGUUAAUUAUUUUCUGAUCUAUCAGAAACCAUUUGACUUAUUUCUCCUCGCUUCUAACAAUUGUACAAAGAUAGAGACCAGCACUGUUUCAUGAAUGGUGAUAUUUUUAAUUUCAAUCAUGGUUUGACCAGAGAAACAUAACCUAAUGGAGAAUUGAACAAUUAGGGUAUUUCUUAGCAACGGAUAUUUAAAAUUGUAUAUAGGUUAUGUGAUUCAACCGAUACGUCUUGCUUAUGAUCAGGAGAGAAUAACAAGAAUAAUCUGUGGUGUGUAAAUUCUUUGGUGUUCGUCGAGUCUCUCUACGUUGAUUUUUAUAGAGAAAGGGAUAAUAACCUAAAAGUAUAACCGAAACGAACCAUGAUCUCUAAAGAUCUGCCUUUAAAGAGUUACAUAGACUUAACGAUGUCUACGAUCUACAAAUAAUUCCCCCCUGUGUUUAAAUUAUAUAUUCCGGUUACCUUUUCUGCGAAGAGUAGCUUUUUGUAAUAAAUCUAUGAAAUUUUCCAAAUCUCUGGAGCCCCUUCGUCUCGUCUUACAAGUCGACUCGAUACUUUCCACAAUUUAGCCACAUCGUUGCAUUUCCCCCUCGGAGUGAAAUCGUGUAAAUACUAUUCGCAUCGAUUGGAAUCCCUUUCACUAGUCCAAUCGAAGGAAACUAAAACUCAAAAUGAAGUAGAAUAACUUUUCCAACGCAUCGUUACACCAUCGAGGAAUUCCUAGACUCAUUAAAACUAAGAUUGCAUUAAAGUGACGACGGAGUAGAAUUUAGUCGAUAAGGAUUUUCUCAGCAGAUUUCGAAUCUUUCUCCUCCCAUUUCUAUCGUAAUUUAAUUUACCAGACAUGUCGAAAAUCCCCAUCGUACUCAUAAAUUUAUGGGGCUGCGCAAAGAAGUCCUCCCAUAUAUUCCCUACGUUAAGUUUUUACCCAACGACAAAAGACACCGAGACCUCAACUUGUAUUAUAUAACAUUGUAAAAUACGCGGAGAAAUAUAUACGUAGAGAUGUUCUAUGUAGAGAGCGCAGUGAUUAUUGCAAUUUUAUUCGCAAUUAGUACUGCCAGAAUAAUUAUUAAUUAUAAUCCAUUGAUUAAAGAUGGAUUAAUUAGACCGAUCGACAGAGGGUCUGAAAGUUGUAACAAAUUGGAAUAUAUUUUUAAUCCUCAGGGAAAAGAACAGCGAUCUGAUUAUCUCUCUAGCUACCGAUCAACUAAUUAAUUAAUUAUUAACUUUUAAUUAACAAAUGGGCUUCGGUAAAGAAAAGAUGUAUAUGUAUAUUGUAUCGUUCUCUAAUUCUAUAAUUAAGAAAUUACAGAGAACCAGUCAGUUUAUUUAUUUAUCUUUAGCUGCCAUUUGAGAGGAACGACUUCUUCUUUUUUUUCUUAUUUUUUUUUUCUGUAACUAGAGGCAUUAAUUACGCCGGAUACAUUACGUACGAUUACAACUAUACAGUAAACACGGGUCUCCUAAAUUAAUUUAUUAUCCUUCCGGCGGGCCGGAAUUGUUAACAACAUUCGCCCUAUACCUAGUACUCUCCCUUGGCUUCGUAUUGUCUAUAUUUACACUUGUAGAAUAAUUGUUAAUUGUCGUUAAGGCAAUUUCAGUUUCCAAGCAGGUACAAUAGAUUAAUACUAAUCUAUUCUUCUCCGGAUCUAAUUAAUUUUCAGUAAUUUUCAGUAAUUUUCCCUCCGUCAUUCACUUCUAAUUGGCAUUGACAACAAAUUUUCCCGUCCAUUUGUAUAAUUGUUAGCAACUAUAGUGCUAGGUCGCUUUAUCGAAUUAAUUUGUACAGAGGAUUUAUCUUUCUCUCCUCCGAAGGGAGGGGGAUAAGAUUGGAAAUAAAGCCCGAUACAAUACAAUACAUCGUAUAACGAAUUACAUUGCACGAUUAGGUAUAGUCAAUUGUAUGAAAAAAGUUUGUAUACAAACUCUUUGUCGUCGCUAUCAUUGUUACGAGUCUAUCAUCCGCGCAAAUUGUUUUUUUUCCCCCCAACUAUUUUCGCUUUUUGUACAUUGUUUGCUUGUAUAGUUAGUUAACUGUUCACUGACGUUGGUUUUCUUGUAUAUCGUUUUCUUGUACAUUCAACUAUUCAGUUGAUUGUUGCUAGUAAAUUAUGCGCGCUCUGAGAAUCUAGGAAAAUUGUUUUUUUUUCUGUACAACUAUUUUCGUUUUCUUGUACAUUGUUUGCUUGCACAGUCAACUAUUCAACGCCUGAGGUUAGUUUUCUUGUACAUUCAACUAUUUAAUUAAUUUUGUUGCUAGUAAUUUAUAUGAGCUCUGAAAAUCUCUGCAAUUUGUUUUUCCCCGCCCAACUAUUUUCCAUUUUCUUGUACAUUGUUUGCUUGUACAUUAAACUACUCAGUGCCUGACUUCAGUAUAAAUAUCUGUAAAUAACAUACACGAUUAUGCGCGCUUAAUUCCUAAUUAAGUUGCCUUAUUCAACCUGACUUAUCGAAUAUUAAUUAUAUAAAUAAACAUUUCCGACAAAUUGAGUAAACAUUGCACGGCCAACUAUACCCCUCGCGGCAUACAAUUUUGCAUUAACAUUGCCCGAUGUAUUCAUUUCGAAUUACAAAUUAAAAAUUUAACAAAUACCGACGAUACAAAAAUGUUAAUUAAAAAAAAAAAUAAAUAAACAAUACAGAAUAAAAAUAUUCAGAUACAAUUUAUGCACGUUAUCAACUAUACUUGUAUUCACUCAACGCGAUCCGUUCGAAAAUUUUACAAAAAUUAUAACAAAUUAUCAUUCUUGACAUUGCGCCGCGCAAUGUUAAUUAAUAAUUAAAAAAAUCAUACACCGCGGGGGAAUCCCGGAAAUGCAAAAUUGUGGAGACGAUUCUAGCUUAUCUAGCUGUACAAUUUAAUUAUUAACUAAAUCCCUGGGGAGCGCGAUGUAACAAAAAAAAAAAAUAAACAAACAAAAAACAUAG